UACAGAGGGUGCAAGCGUUAAUCGGAAUUACUGGGCGUAAAGCGCGCGUAGGCGGAUAAAUAAGUUGGGUGUGAAAUCCCUGGGCUUAACCUAGGAAUUGCAUUCAAAACUGUUUGUCUAGAGUACAGGAGAGGAGGGCAGAAUUUCCGGUGUAGCGGUGAAAUGCGUAGAUAUCGGAAGGAAUACCAGUGGCGAAGGCGGCCCUCUGGACUGUGACUGACGCUGAGGUGCGAAAGCGUGGGGAGCAAACGGG
rnacentral:rRNA from 1 species